rnacentral:lncRNA from 1 species
UCGAUAGUUGCGAGGGUCACAAGUUGUGAUAUAACUCUCUGAGCAACUGCGGAGUUGAUUGGUUGUCCAAUGAAGAUAAUUCGAUUCCUGAAUAACACAGUAGAGAGAUCCAAAGGCCCCCCUGGUGUCAUCACAGCAGGCAUGACGGGUGGAUUCCCCUUUUUUGCUUCGAUAACACCAUAGCUGUUUCCACAAAAGCAGGCAUGACGGGUGGAUUCCCCUUCUUUGCUUCGGUAACACCAAAGCUGUUUCCACAAAUUUCAAACAGGAGUGUUAUAUUAUCCAGGUGGCAUGUUUCGACCAAUUAUUGGUCUGUGUGUGUUCAAAGACCACCCAGUACUCAAGAGACAUUCAAUAAUGCAAUAUUUCUGCUUGUUAGUAAACUGCAGGUUGACUGGCCACCUUUCAGCAUGCAUAUUUGGGUCUAUGCUUGUGUUUUAUUCUUCACUCUGUAAUUAUAUAUUUUGGAUAAAUUGUUUCAACACUUCCCUAUGAGAGAUUUUUGUCUUUUUACCUAUUUACCCCAGCUUUUUAAGACCUAGCAAGCACCAAAACAAUAUCAAAGUGAUCAUGACAAUUUAUGCUCUUUGACAUAUUUUCAGUUUCUAACAACGUGCCACACAUCAAUAACAUCAAAGUGAAAGUGAAGAUACUCGGUGUAAAUUUCAAUAACUCUAUAUCUAGUGAGUAUUGCAGGAACAGCACAAAGCAUCACCAAUUUAGGAAAACAACAUAAGCUCAUCUCAAGAGCAACGAAAAAUUAUCUAAGUUCUAGAUCAAAGAACAUCUGUUGGAAGAUCUUACCAUGUGUUCAGAACAUCUCUUCACUCUUCUGACUUAUUACAAAACUACAUCACUGCAUUACUACAUCUGGUAAUAUAUUAC